rnacentral:lncRNA from 1 species
ACCAGACCAAGAAUUGGCUCUGAUUUUCUGGGUCAGUGGUAUUCUCUGUGUUCUGUAGAGUAUGUUGUGUUGUUGUGGGUUCGGAUCCCAGGUCUGUUGUGGCAGGAUGACCUGUGAUAUACACCACAUUAGUUUAUGUUACUGUAGUACCUUAACCACCAUGUAAAGCACUGAACAGUUGUCUGGCUAGCUUUAUAUGUCACAAACAUGAACAUCUCAUCAACAAUUCCAUGAUCAGCUUGAUUCACCUGCUAAAUGUUCCUAGCAGCCAACAGUAUUUUUCUUUUUCAUGGUUGCCAAAUUCUGAACUCUCAAGCCAUCUCAGCUGCCAUUCAAUACACAUGCAGUAUUUUCAGCGAAAGGCCAUCCCAACAAUACACUCCCAGCUGGCUGUGAGAGCUAAGCGCUAUAAGUAUGGGGAAACAGAUUACAGCUCUGUUUAUAGUUAAAGUGUUUGUGUUAUUCCCCAUCCUACCAGUCCCCUAUAUCUACCAAGCCACUGACACUAUCAGGUCGCUGCAAUGCAUGUGUUUAUUCCCAGCUCCCUCUCUUUUAUCAAUCUCUCCUCUAAAAUGUUUAAGAGAGAAAAUCAAAACUUCUCCCUUUGAAUUUAAUUAAUUGCUUUUAUCGUUUGAAUUAGGAAUUCAGUAGCAUUCACUAGGCACCAAGGAGGGGUACAGUCCGGAGAGGCAGAGGGAGUGAGGGAUACAGUACGGAGAGGCAGAGGGAGUGAGGGAUACAGUACGGAGAGGCAGAGGGAGUGAGGGGUACAGUCCGGAGAGGCACUGGGGAGGGAGGGGUACAGUACGGAGAGGCAGAGGGAGUGAGGGGUACAGUACAGAGAGGCAGAGGGAGUGAGGGAUACAGUACGGAGAGGCAGAGGGAGUGAGGGGUACAGUACGGAGAGGCAGAGGGAGUGAGGGGUACAGUACGGAGUGGCAGAGGGAGUGAGGGAUACAGUACGGAGAGGCAGAGGGAGUGAGGGGUACAGUACGGAGUGGCAGAGGGAGUGAGGGAUACAGUACAGAGAGGCAGAGGGAGUGAGGGAUACAGUACGGAGAGGCAGAGGGAGUGAGGGGUACAGUACGGAGAGGAAGAGGGAGUGAGGGCUACAGUACGGAGAGGCACUGGGGAGUGAGGGGUACAGUACGGAGAGGCACUGGGGAGUGAGGGGUACAGUCCGGAGAGGAAGAGGGAGUGAGGGGUACAGUACGGAGAGGAAGAGGGAGUGAGGGCUACAGUACGGAGAGGCACUGGGGAGUGAGGUGUACAGUCCGGAGAGGCAGAGGGAGUGAGGGGUACAGUACGGAGAGGAAGAGGGAGUGAGGGGUACAGUACGGAGAGGCAGAGGGAGUGAGGGAUAAAGUACGGAGAGGCAGAGGGCGUGAGGGGUACAGUCCGGAGAGGCACUGGGGAGUGAGGUGUACAGUACGGAGAGGCAGAGGGAGUGAGGUGUACAGUACGGAGAGGCAGAGAGUGAGGGGUACAGUACAGAGAGGCAGAGGGAGUGAGGGGUACAGUACGGAGCAGCAAAGGGAGUGAGGGGAACAGUCCGGAGAGGCAGAGGGAGUGAGGGGUACAGUACGGAGAGACACUGGGAGUGAGGGGUACAGUACGGAGAGGCACUGGGAGUGAGGGGUACAGUAUAGAGAGACACUGGGAGUGAGGGAUACAGUACGGAGAGACACUGGGAGUGAGGGGUACAGUACAGAGAGACACUGGGAGUGAGGGGUACAGUAUAGAGAGGCACUGGGAGUGAGGUGUACAGUACAGAGAGACACUGGGAGUGAGGGGUACAGUACAGAGAGACACUGGGAGUGAGGGGUACGUUACGGAGAGACACUGGGAGUGAGGGGUACAGUACAGAGAAGCACUGGGAGGGAGGGGUACAGUACAGAGAAGCACUGGGAGUGAGGGGUACAUUACGGAUAUGGUGACUGCAGUUUGUGACUCUGGGUUCCUAUUUGUAUGCAGAGAGUCUUGGCAUAUGAAAGUGUCCAGUAUCUUGUGUCCAUAAAAGCCAGAACCAGUCCUGUGGGUGACCAUUAAUGAGAAUCUAUGUACUGGGCCUUAUUAAAUGUUAAUGACACCUGCCUGCCUGCCUGCUGGCCUGGCUGGAUACCUGAAAUGAUCCCUACCAAUCAUCUACACAGGGAAUGUCAAAUUGCCCGGAAUAGAGGCCCAUAUGGAUUCAGAUGGAUAUAGAUUCUCAUAUACAGUAUAAUUAUCAAACUACUGGAUCAGAAUGAUUCUGUACAAGGAGUAACUACUUCGGUAGCAGUUUAUUUAUAGAGUAAUGACCUAUUAAUUACUUGUGUGUUUCUUUGGGAUUCAUUCAGUCAAGCACAACUGGGGACCAUUUGGUACCAGGUAGUUACCAAUUGUGUGGUGUUGUUUGAAGUAUGUACAAGGAAGUACCAUUUGUUACUACAUAAUUUUCUGAUAAAUACUUGUGGAAGCAGUAUUGUAAAAUAUAGUGCUGCAAUCACUGUUUCAGUAGGAUCAUACACUACCGUUCAGAAGUUUAGGGUCACUUAGAAAUGUCCUUGUUUUUGACAGAAAAGCAAUUUUUUUUGUCCAUUAAAAUAGAAUCAAAUUGAUCAGAAAUACAGUGUAGACAUUGAUAAUGUUGUAAAUGACUAUUGUAGCUGGAAACGGCAGAUUUUUUAUGGAAUAUCUACAUAGGCGCAGAGGCCCAUUAUCAGCAACCAUCACUCCUGUGUUCCAGUGGCACGUUGUGUUAGCUAAUCCAAGUUUAUCAUUUUAAAAGGCUAAUUGAUCAUUAGAAAACCCUUCUGCAAUUAUGUUAGCACAGCUGUUGUUCUGAUUGAAGAUGAAAUACAACUGGCCUUCUUUAGACUAGUUGAGUAUCUGGAGCAUCAGCAUUUGUGAGUUCGAUUACAGGCUCAAAAUGGCCAGAAACAACUAACUUGCAACAGGGUGAUCAAAUGAAGAUCCUACAUCUGUAUAAAGUCUCAUUACAGAAUGGUAAUGAGGCGUGUUAUAAAUAAUGGAAGAUGUUACUUUGUACUGUUAUAUGAAAUUCCCUGUAGGUUGGCCAAUUUUAUCACCUCUACUUCCCUUUAUGUAUCUCCAACAGUGAUGAAUAAAACAUUCACCAAUGUCUUUGUCUCUAAAUCCACAGUACAGACUUGUGGUUUGUUGCAAAUAAAUGUAUGCCAGCUUUCUGUAGACAAUUAAAAGAAAAGAGUGUGUUAAUGAAAAGUAGCAUACAGGGAGACUGUGUGGGCUGCCGUUAUAUACUGUGUGCUACUACGAAGAUACCUUAGCAUGGGUGUUUAGCAUGAACAAGCUGACAAUUGCAGUACUCAUGGGUGUGUUAAUUAGUGCACACCGUAGCAACAUGUUUUGCAGUGAAUAUGAGCAUUUCUUAUUGGACAGGUUCAGGUUAGUCCUCACUGUUUUGUCUCGUUUGCUACCGUUUGGUUCAGAGUGAAUAAACCCCUGGUUAUACCUCACAAGGUGUACCUUUGUACAAUAAUUGAAAAGACGGAAUAUGAGUGUGUUUGUUUCCAUGGAAACAUCACAAUCUAUGAGAGGCUCUGGUCCUCAUGCCUCUUCUAUGUUACCUGGUCAGACUGUAUGAUGUAUAUCACGUCAGGCUGUAAACUAGAAGCUAUGAGCUUUUAUUAUCGUGCGUGCGUGCGUGCGUGCGUGCAAGAGGGAGAGAGAGAAAGAGAGCAAGUGCGAGAGAGAGCGAGAAGGUCAUCUUAAGGGAAUCUUCCCCAAAAUCCUUUGAAAAGUCACCAUAUUAUAGUCCAAUUUAAAUGUAGGACUAUUACCAAUGUAGGACAAUUACUAUUACUUGUGAACCACAGCCUUGGAAUCAAAUAGAUUAUAGAUUUUUUUUUAAAUGACCCAAACACAUUUUGAUCAAGUAGACUUUUGAAGAUGCUAUCAUGAUGUUUGUGGUCAACUCAACCUUUUCAAUUGUACAUAACUACAUUAAAACAUGCAGGGAAAAAUCCAAUGGUUGAUCAUUCACAUGCACCUAUCCAUGACAUGGCUUUCUUCCAUUAUGAUCUGGGGAUUUCUCUCUCCACUGGCAGUAGGAUUCUUUUACAUCUUCUGAGUAUUCCUUUGGUCAUGGUCAGCGAACAGGCCUCUGGAUUACUACAUUUCCUCCUCCAUCAUCUCCAAAGGUUUGGGAGGGUGGAGGGUUGUAGAGCAACAUCUGAGAACUUUAUGUAUGUAGAUACGUAUGUCAACCCAAGCCAACCCAAUAGAAGAGGCUCAACAUUCUGCCAUUCAGCAGGUAAGCAUCAGUUCAUGGCAUGGCAGCAGCUUGCUCUUUAGGGUGUGGGAUUCCAUCACCCUAAGUGCUGCGCUCAGGUCAGUUCUGCUUUUUACUCCCAAGUUGUUCAAGACAGAAUCAGACAGGGGAUAAGCUGACCCUAGCUCAGCACUUAGUAGCAACUUGUACCUCUAGCGCUCCCUGGCAUCUGUCACGUUCGUCAUAAUAAUGAUCGGACUAAGGCGCAGCGUGAGUAUCGUUCCACAUAAUUUAUUAGAAAGUGAAACUUUUGAAAAAUACAAAACAAAUAAAGAAUAAACGAACCGUGACUACAAUGCAACUACACAUAAACAAUAUCCCAUAAUCCCCAAGUGAAAAACAAGCUACUUAAGUAUGAUCCCCAAUUAGAGACAACAAUUACCAGCUGCCUCUAAUUGGGAAUCAUACCAAAUUAACCAAACAUAGAAAAACUAAACUAGAACCCCACAUAGAAAAUAAUAACUAGGAAAACCCCCCUGACCUACUCUAACAUAGAAAAUAAGAGCUUUCUAUGGUCAGGACGUGACAGCAUCAAAGUGGAUGGUGAUUGAUGGCUGCGACAGUGUGGGCCAAGAGGUGUAUUUGUAUGGGUUCAAAGUGGUACAUGUAUGACAUUUUUCCUUUUCAAGACUGGGAUGAAAGCAACGUUCUUCGACAUAGGCAACCCAUGUUUUGUGCUUGGCUGGUGGAAUAGGCCUUUAUACUGGUGAAUUGUGGGACAUUUGAAAGAGGACAUUGACGUUGAUUAAUUUGAGACCUUUCCAUUGAAUGAACUUUGGAUGUUAUGACAGGUAUUAUAGGGAGUAAUACAGUAACACUUCUCUCCGAGGCCGCACAGGAUAAAACCAUUGUAGGCAGCACAGGAUCAAACUCUUCUAGGCAACACAAGAUCAAACUAUUCUAGGCAACACAGGAUCAAACUCUUUUAGGCAACACAGGAUCAAACCCUUCUAAGCAACACAGGAUCAAACCCUUCUAGGCAACACAGGAUCAAACUCUUCUAGGCAACACAGGAUCAAACCCUUCUAGGCAACACAGGAUCAAACUAUUCUAGGCAACACAGGAUCAAACCCUUCUAAGCAACACAGGAUCAAACCCUUCUUGGCAACACAGGAUCAAACUCUUCUAGGCAACACAGGAUCAAACUCUUCUAGGCAACACAGGAUCAAACUCUUCUAGGCAACACAGGAUCAAACCCUUCUAAGCAACACAGGAUCAAACCCUUCUUGGCAACAUAGGAUCAAACCCUUCUAGGCAACACAGGAUCAAACUCUUCUAGGCAACACAGGAUCAAACCCUUCUAGGCAACACAGGAUCAAACUAUUCUAGGCAAUACAGGAUCAAACUCUUCUAGGCAACACAGGAUCAAACUCUUCUAGGCAAUACAGGAUCAAACUCUUCUAGGCAACACAGGAUCAAACUCUUCUAGGCAACACAGGAUCAAACUCUUCUAGGCAACACAGGAUCAAACCCUUCUAAGCAACACAGGAUCAAACCCUUCUUGGCAACACAGGAUCAAACCCUUCUAGGCAACACAGGAUCAAACUCUUUUAGGCAACACAGGAUCAAACCCUUCUAGGCAACACAGGAUCAAACUCUUCUAGGCAACAUAGGAUCAAACCCUUCUAGGCAACACAGGAUCAAACCCUUCUAGGCAACACAGGAUCAAACUCGUUCAGGCAGCACACUUUUCCAAGCAGCAAAGUAUUCCUUAGAGUGAGACUAAAUGGUGUAGACGGCCCCAGUACCAAUACUGAUCAAGAUGAGAUCAAUGUUAUUACUUGAAAUGCUAAUUUCUUGAAAGCAUGAUUGGGUUUGAAUGUAUCUCAGUAAAAUGUCUUCAUAAUAAUACUAACACUGCCAGAUGCCAAUACUGUCAGAGAAUACAUUUCAGAAAAAAGUAGCCGCAUGUAUUGUAUGCAAAAGCUCUUUUCAGAACUCUCCUCCAGGUAUUGCACUCAGACUCGAGGGUUUACAGCCAGCCAUCCUAUAUGUUCCUAUUGUAGCACUGUUUCUCUUACUCUAAACAGCAUCUAUUUCCUAAAUGGUUCAGGGUGAUGGCACUGCGUCACAGACCUUAUCUAUUGAUACAUAGAGCAAUACAUUCUGCCGCUGCCAAUGUGUCACCCAGCAGCUGUAAUCUCUGGCAAGAUUCCAUUAGAGAGCCUGACCAACAUUCAUUGAAACCAACGUCGCCUAAGGGGCAUUGUGAAAGCUGUCUUCUCCAUCCUUUAUAUCAACCUCCACCUGUCAAUAAGCCUUGGUCACUAGAUCAAGGUCCACAUGUAGCUGCCUCCUUCCAGAUAGUACAGAUUGGCUCCAGUACGACAUUAGAGUUUACAAGAUACCAUGGCUGUGUCCGAAAUGGCACCCAAUCCCUAUAUAAUGCACUACUUUUGACCAGGGUCCAUAGGGCUAUUGUCAAAAGUAGUGCACUAUGUAGGGUAGUGGUUCCCAACUCCAGUCCUCCAGUACCCCCAACAGCACACAUUUUUGUUGUAGCCCGGAUAAAAAACACCUGAUUCAACUCAUUGAGGGACUGAUGAUUAGUUGAAAAGAUUAAUCUGGUGUGCUUGUCAGACUACAAUAAAAAUGUGUACUAUUGAGUGCAGGCCCGACACCAUGAGGGGGCUAAAGUUCAAACUUUAUCUUGCACAGUUUUAGGUCCCUAUAUUAAAAUAGCAAAAAAAGAAUUAAUGAUUGAUUGACAGGUUGGCGCCCCAAAAUCUGUAUCUCUGCUGCACUGUGUAGCUGUGUGUACGCAGCCUUGGCUGAUAGACUAGACGUAACAUUGUAAAUGUAAAUCUGGGACACUCAAAUCAGUAUGAUAUGUUACGUUUAGUUCGGUUGCAUAAGACAGAAGCUACAAAGUUGCAAUAUGCUGAAAUCGCUCCUCCAUUUCUUGGUUGCUAAAAUUCGAAUAGUUUGCUUAAUUUCAGUUUAUGUGACAAAACAAGCAGUCAUAGUGUAGAGAAUCAUUGUACUAUCUAAACUGCUGUGAAAUAUAUUUUCCAUAACCACAACUAUUGUAUUUUCAGCUGUUUGAAGCUGGUGUACAAAACCAAAGGUAAAAGAUGCAGAAACUAAACUUAAGAAUGGGAUGCAUAGAAAUAGUGCACAUUCUUAGACUUGCUUUCAAUGAGAAUGACAGAUCUAUAUCUCAACAUUUCUAUGUGACUUUGGGUCAGAUCACCCAAAAAAUGACAUAUUGCAGGGUUAAGAUAAAAACAUAUUGUACGAUUUGCUAAUUCAUAACAUAUCAUACGAAUUGUAAUUCGUAACAUAUCAUAUGAAAAUGGAUGAUGGACAUUCUCAAAUUAAUACAUACCAUACGAAACGUAACAUAUGGAAUGUCUAGGCUUUACGUACAGACUAACACAAAAUGCUCUGAGACCAGGUUGCAGCAGGGAGCCUAUGGAAAGCCACUGGGCGGUUAGGUAUGACUCCUUUGGGUUUCCAUAAAAAGCGGAAAAAAGGCUUCUGAUCUCUCAUCGCUGAAGUAGGUUAAGUAAAUAGCGUGAUACGCCUUCACCUGUAAUAUUUAAUUUUGAUUUAAAAGGGCAGGGUCAAGUUUACUUUUUUUACCUUUAUUUAACUAGGCAAGUCAGUUAAGAACAAAUUCUUGUUUACAAUGACGGCUUACCCCAGCCAAACCUGGACGACGCUGAGCCAAUUGUGCGCCACCCUACGGGACUCUCAAUCACGGCCGGAUGUGAUACAGCCUGGAUUCAAACCAGUGAUGCCUCUUGCACUGAGAUGCAAUGCCUUAGACCACUGCGCCACAGUUGAAGCUGCUUCACUCUUAGCUACAGCUGUAAAAAGCGUUAGUGUUAUUAUCCUUAGCCUAUUUAGCUAGCUCAAACCAGCUAAUCUGCCACGAUUGAUAUCAAAAAUUGGCAUUGACAAAGUACCAGAACAAAGGAGAAGGAAAGCGAUGAGCAGCAGCAUCAAACCACUGAGGCCGCCGCCAAGCCCAACAGCUAUGAUGCUCCCGAGCUCCAGCUAGCUCUGUGUGCAGAACCUACCCACCCUUCCACAAGCGUCAACAUAAUGCUAAUGGCUCCAUAGCCGCCUCCACCUCCGAGUGAUCCUGAUGAUCUUGGAACAAAAGAGCCAGCCCAGGUUAGCCUAGAAUCCUAUCCUAGCCGCAGGUUUUCUGUCCAAAAACCUUCAUUUAAUAGCAACUGGUUCAUAGGAAGAAAGUGGCUGGAAUACUCGUUUACUGCAGAUGCUGCAUUUUGUUUCCCAUGUCGAAAGUUCUGUAUUGGAUCCAAUGGUAACGUAGACAAGGCCUUCACCCAAGCUGGGUAUUCUAAGUGGAAGAAUGCUAUUGAUAGGACCAAAGGACAUGCUAGGCACGCAUCAAGCAAAGAGCAUUUGAAAUGCCCUGCACUGUGGAAAUAAAAACUAGUUUGAAGUGCAAUGGGAACUUCGGUGUCAACACUUGCAUGUAUUUGUCAUCGAUUGUGGACAUUAUUGAGUUCCUUUUGGGUCGUUCACAGAUACAUGAACACCCCAAAAGGAGCUAAUUUCCCACUUUGACAAACUGUGUUCAGUCAGCACAGAAGAAGCAUGCUUCACCUGAGGAAAGCUCAAUUAAUCCAACUGGCAUUUGAGGAGAAUCUUACAAGAAGAUUCCGGAGAGAAUGGAGAUUGGAGAAUGGAAUGAUCGAUUACUCAGGAAGUUUUACAGAGCAAUCAAGGCAUCUGC